rnacentral:rRNA from 1 species
UACGGAGGGGGCUAGCGUUGUUCGGAAUUACUGGGCGUAAAGCGUACGUAGGCGGCUUUGUAAGUUAGAGGUGAAAGCCCGGGGCUCAACUCCGGAAUUGCCUUUAAGACUGCAUCGCUUGAAUCAUGGAGAGGUGAGUGGAAUUCCGAGUGUAGAGGUGAAAUUCGUAGAUAUUCGGAAGAACACCAGUGGCGAAGGCGACUGACUGGACAAGUAUUGACGCUGAGGUGCGAAAGCGUGGGGAGCAAACAGG